AUGAAUCAUAGUGCACCGCCCAUCGCGCCGCCCACCAACAUGUGCCACCACGAUCACCGGAUCAACUCCGCCGUCUCCCUGAGGUCACCGACACGAGACCUGGAGGAUGGGAGAAGGGAGAGUGUCCUUGGGGGCAUCCGCAACAUCACCGACGGCGGGCGCCCACCCUCGCCCUACCGGGAGGUCUGCUUGUGCCAUCACCACUACCUCUUCUUCAUCAAGCAACUCAACACGCUGGGCACCGCCACCGUACUGGCCUUCUCGACCACCGUGCCGCUCCUGGAGAUCGCCUUUGGCAUCCUGCUCCUCCCCUACCUCCUCCUCCUAGCCACGCCUGCCUCCUCGCAGCGCCCCAGGAAGCCCAACCCGUCCGCACUUGUCUUCCGCGGCCUCGCGUGCCUCCUCCUCAUCGAGCACACCGUGGGUGGGUUCCUCGUCGGCGCCGCGCUCCCGGCGCUCUACAUCCUCGACAGCCUCCGGUCCAGGGACACCACGGGGAUCACCGCCGCGUUCCUGCCCUCCGUGCAGGUCUUCACCGAGGGGCUCACCGUAGUGUUCCCGUGGCGGUUCUCGCUCCCCGUCAGGGCCGCCGUACCGCUCAUGUACAACACGAGCAGGAUGUUCGCGGCAGGGAGUGGCUCCGACAGGAGAUGGAGGGGCGACUACGGCGACGGGAAGGGAAGUGGCGGAGCGGCACGAGGCUGGGCUGGUCGAGGAGUUCCCCGGCGACGGCGGUGGCGUAGGAAACCCUAUUGCGCGCGAGGGCAAUCAAGGAGAAGAGCUGCUUGCACAGUUGUUUAG
rnacentral:rRNA from 1 species